UACGUAGGGACCGAGCGUUGUCCGGAAUCAUUGGGCGUAAAGAGCUCGUAGGCGGCUUGUCGCGUCGACUGUGAAAUCCCGCGGCUCAACUGCGGGUCUGCAGUCGAUACGGGCAGGCUAGAGUUCGGUAGGGGAGACUGGAAUUCCUGGUGUAGCGGUGAAAUGCGCAGAUAUCAGGAGGAACACCGGUAGCGGAAGGUGGGUCUCUGGGCCGAACUGACGCUGAGGAGCGAAAGCGUGGGGAGCGAACAGGAUUAGAACUACCGUAGUCAGUCCAAG
rnacentral:rRNA from 1 species